rnacentral:rRNA from 1 species
UACGGGGGGGGCAAGCGUUAUCCGGAUUUACUGGGUUUAAAGGGUGUGUAGGCGGACUAUUAAGUCAGUGGUGAAAUCCCGAGGCUCAACCUCGGAACUGCCUUUGAUACUAUUAGUCUUGAAUGUUGUUGAGGUGGGCGGAACGGGUCAUGUAGCGGUGAAAUGCAUAGAUAUGACCCGGAACACCGAUUGCGAAGGCAGCCCGCUAAGCAACUAUUGACGCUGAGGCACGGAAAGCGACUGGGAAUCGAAACCAGGUAGGGGUAAUC